GUGCUUGCUUCAGCGGCACAUGUACUAAAAUUGGAACCAUACAGCGAAGAUUAGCAUGGCCCCUGUGCAAGGAUGACAUGCAAAUUCAUGAAGCAUUCCAUAUCUUU
ensembl:snRNA U6 U6 spliceosomal RNA